rnacentral:rRNA from 1 species
GCCAGACUCCUACGGGAGGCAGCAGUGGGGGAUAUUGCACAAUGGGGGAAACCCUGAUGCAGCGACGCCGCGUGGGCGAGGAAGUAUUUCGGUAUGUAAAGCCCUAUCGGCAGGGAAGAAGAAAUGACGGUACCUGAAUAAGAAGCACCGGCUAAAUACGUGCCAGCAGCCGCGGGAAUACGUAGGGAGCAAGCGUUGUCCGGAAUUACUGGGCGUAAAGGGCGCGUAGGUGGGUGCUUAAGUCAGGUGUGAAAACUCUAGGCUCAACCUGGAGACUGCACUUGAAACUGGGUAUCUUGAGGGCAGGAGAGGAAAGUGGAAUUCCUAGUGUAGCGGUGAAAUGCGUAGAUAUUAGGAGGAACACCAGUGGCGAAGGCGACUUUCUGGACUGUACCUGACGCUGAGGCGCGAAAGCGUGGGUAGCGAACGGGAUUAGAUACCCCAGUAC